rnacentral:rRNA from 1 species
UACGUAGGGAGCAAGCGUUGUCCGGAAUCAUUGGGCGUAAAGCGCGCGUAGGUGGCUUCAUAAGUCCGUUGUGAAAGUCAAAGGCUCAACCUUUGAAAGCCGAUGGAUACUGUGGAGCUAGAGUACGGAAGAGGCGAGUGGAAUUCCUGGUGUAGCGGUGGAAUGCGCAGAUAUCAGGAGGAACACCAAUAGCGAAGGCAGCUCGCUGGGACGUUACUGACACUGAGGCGCGAAAGCGUGGGGAGCAAACAGG